UGUCACACACUGGUUAUUGAUUAAAACAUCAAAUUAUGUUCUUCUUCUCGUGUACCGCAAAGAACUCAAAGAACUCACAACAUAAGAAAACCCAGAAAAAAAAAGCUUAACAUCAACUAUUCUUCUUCUCGCGUACCCUACUCAGUUUCGAACAAAGAACAUCAACUCUUCUUCUUUAGUUCAACAACUUGUUAAUUUCUUCAAAGGUAGUUUUAGAAUUAAGUUAAAGUGUUGCUGAAUCAGGCAUAAACAAUUAGAUCUGACACAAAUUUCGUUCCUAGAAAGGGCUUGGACAACAGUUAUGGUGUAGAGGAAGAAAAUACUUAAAGUGAUGAAGAUGCUGAUGAAUCCAACAAUGAAGGAUUUUAUUGCAAUUACGAUGUUGCAACUGCCGUGGAUAGUGUGAGUGAUAUAGACAAAUUAAACUUAAAGGAAAUGAGUUGUGAAGAAAUUAAACUUGUGAAAAAUGUAAUAUUUAGAGUUGUUUAAAUUAUGCCCCUAAUUAAUGCUUUAUGGUUGA